CCUGAGAAACCCAAAAGAUCGAAUGGGGAGAUUCAUCGUCAGCCGCUUUGGCUUCCGUGCGGCGCGCGAUGACGCGGGACUUCGGUCUCGCGUCACGCCGUCGCUGCGGUAUGUCCGAGGUGGUCGACGUGCACUUCUCCCCUAGUAGGACGUCGCGACCCGUUGGGUGUCGGCCUACGGCCCGGUGCGUCGACUGACGUGUCGCGUUUACGCGCGCACGCGUCAGACGCCCGGUUGCCCGGCCGGCUGCCCGGCGGUAUAGAACGAUCAAAUCAAUCUGGUAUUGGGCCGCAUUAAGUGCGUUCAGGCUCGUCGGCAGGCUCGCCUCGCUCGGAUUUACGGACCUAGUGCCGUAGCCGGGUGCUUGGUGUGGCCGUUAGUCGACGAUGUCCUCGGACUGGCUCUAAAAUAUUCGAACGGAUAUACCGGUCGGCGACGCUACUGCUUUGGGUACUUUC
rnacentral:rRNA from 1 species